AUUGAACGCUGGCGGCAGGCUUAACACAUGCAAGUCGAGCGGAGAUGAGGUGCUUGCACCUUAUCUUAGCGGCGGACGGGUGAGUAAUGCUUAGGAAUCUGCCUAUUAGUGGGGGACAACAUUCCGAAAGGAAUGCUAAUACCGCAUACGCCCUACGGGGGAAAGCAGGGGAUCUUCGGACCUUGCGCUAAUAGAGGAGCCUAAGUCGGAUUAGCUAGUUGGUGGGGUAAAGGCCUACCAAGGCGACGAUCUGUAGCGGGUCUGCGAGGAUGAUCCGCCACACUGGGACUGAGACACGGCCCAGACUCCUACGGGAGGCAGCAGUGGGGAAUAUUGGACAAUGGGCGGAGGCCUGAUCCAGCCAUGCCGCGUGUGUGAAGAAGGCCUUUUGGUUGUAAAGCACUUUAAGCGAGGAGGAGGCUACUUAGAUUAAUACUCUAGGAUAGUGGACGUUACUCGCAGAAUAAGCACCGGCUAACUCUGUGCCAGCCGCCGCCGUAACAC
rnacentral:rRNA from 1 species